CCUACGGGUGGCAGCAGUGAGGAAUAUUGGUCAAUGGACGAGAGUCUGAACCAGCCAAGUAGCGUGAAGGAUGACUGCCCUAUGGGUUGUAAACUUCUUUUAUAUGGGAAUAAAAUGUUACACGUGUGGGAUUUUGUAUGUACCAUAUGAAUAAGGAUCGGCUAACUCCGUGCCAGCAGCCGCGGUAAUACGGAGGAUCCGAGCGUUAUCCGGAUUUAUUGGGUUUAAAGGGAGCGUAGGUGGAUUGUUAAGUCAGUUGUGAAAGUUCGCGGCUCAACCGUAAAAUUGCAGUUGAUACUGGUAGUCUUGAGUACAGUAGAGGUGGGCGGAAUUCGUGGUGUAGCGGUGAAAUGCUUAGAUAUCACGCAGAACUCCGAUUGCGAAGGCAGCUUACUGGACUGCAACUGACACUGAGGCUCGAAAGUGUGGGUAUCAAACAGGAUUAGAUACCCCAGUAGUC
rnacentral:rRNA from 1 species